GAUGAACGCUGGCGGCGUGCUUAACACAUGCAAGUCGAACGGGGUUUAGGGAGAGCUUGCUUUUGGUAAACCUAGUGGCGGACGGGUGAGUAACGCGUGAGUAACCUGCCUUAGACUGGGGGAUAACACUUAGAAAUAGGUGCUAAUACCGCAUAAGCGCACAGUGCCGCAUGGCACAGUGUGAAAAACUCCGGUGGUCUAAGAUGGACUCGCGUCUGAUUAGCUAGUUGGUGAGGUAACGGCCCACCAAGGCGACGAUCAGUAGCCGGCCUGAGAGGGUGAACGGCCACAUUGGGACUGAGACACGGCCCAAACUCCUACGGGAGGCAGCAGUGGGGGAUAUUGCACAAUGGGCGAAAGCCUGAUGCAGCGACGCCGCGUGAGUGAAGAAGUAUUUCGGUAUGUAAAGCUCUAUCAGCAGGGAAGAAAAUGACGUAC
rnacentral:rRNA from 1 species